GACGAACGCUGGCGGCGUGCCUAAUACAUGCAAGUUGAGCGAUGAAGAUUGGUGCUUGCCCCAAUUUGAAGAGCAGCGAACGGGUGAGUAACGCGUGGGGAAUCUGCCUUUGAGCGGGGGACAACAUUUGGAAACGAAUGCUAAUACCGCAUAACAACUUUAAACAUAAGUUUUAAGUUUGAAAGAUGCAAUUGCAUCACUCAAAGAUGAUCCCGCGUUGUAUUAGCUAGUUGGUGAGGUAAAGGCUCACCAAGGCGAUGAUACAUAGCCGACCUGAGAGGGUGAUCGGCCACAUUGGGACUGAGACACGGCCCAAACUCCUACGGGAGGCAGCAGUAGGGAAUCUUCGGCAAUGGACGAAAGUCUGAACGAGCAACGCCGCGUGAGGGAAGAAGGUUUUCGGAUCGUAAAACUCUGUUGGUAGAGAAGAACGUUGGUGAGAGUGGAAAGCUCAUCAAGUGACGGUAACUACCCAGAAAGGGACGGCUAACUACGUG
rnacentral:rRNA from 1 species